CCUACGGGUGGCAGCAGUCGAGAAUCAUUCACAAUGGGGGAAACCCUGAUGGUGCGACGCCGCGUGGGGGAAUGAAGGUCUUCGGAUUGUAAACCCCUGUCAUGUGGGAGCAAAUUAAAAAGAUAGUACCACAAGAGGAAGAGACGGCUAACUCUGUGCCAGCAGCCGCGGUAAUACAGAGGUCUCAAGCGUUGUUCGGAAUCACUGGGCGUAAAGCGUGCGUAGGCUGUUUCGUAAGUCGUGUGUGAAAGGCGCGGGCUCAACCCGCGGACGGCACAUGAUACUGCGAGCCUAGAGGAAUGGAGGGGGAACCGGAAUUCUCGGUGUAGCAGUGAAAUGCGUAGAUAUCGAGAGGAACACUCGUGGCGAAGGCGGGUUCCUGGACAUUAACUGACGCUGAGGCACGAAGGCCAGGGGAGCGAAAGGGAUUAGAUACCCUUGUAGUC
rnacentral:rRNA from 1 species